GCCUGGUGUGGUGGCAUGUGCCUGUAGUCCCAGCUGCUCGGUAGGCUGAGACUGGAGAAUCGCUUGAGUCCAGCAGUUCUGGGCUGUAAUGUGCUAUGCCAGUCAGGUGUCAGAAAGUUCGGCAUCAAUAUGAUGACCUCCUGGGAGCAGGGACCACCAGGUUGCCUAAGGAGGGGUGAACCGGCAUAGAUUGGAAACAAAACAGGUCAAAAUUCCCGUGCUGAUCAGUAGUGGGAUUGCACCUGUGAAUAGCCACUGCACUCCAACCUGGGCAACAUAGCAAGACCCUGUCUCU
rnacentral:SRP_RNA from 1 species